GUGCCAGCAGCCGCGGUAAUACGUAGGUGGCAAGCGUUGUCCGGAUUUAUUGGGCGUAAAGCGAGCGCAGGCGGUUUCUUAAGUCUGAUGUGAAAGCCCCCGGCUCAACCGGGGAGGGUCAUUGGAAACUGGGAGACUUGAGUGCAGAAGAGGAGAGUGGAAUUCCAUGUGUAGCGGUGAAAUGCGUAGAUAUAUGGAGGAACACCAGUGGCGAAGGCGGCUCUCUGGUCUGUAACUGACGCUGAGGCUCGAAAGCGUGGGGAGCGAACAGGAUUAGAUACCCUGGUAGUCCACGCCGUAAACGAUGAGUGCUAAGUGUUGGAGGGUUUCCGCCCUUCAGUGCUGCAGCAAACGCAUUAAGCACUCCGCCUGGGGAGUACGACCGCAAGGUUGAAACUCAAAGGAAUUGACGGGGGCCCGCACAAGCGGUGGAGCAUGUGGUUUAAUUCGAAGCAACGCGAAGAACCUUACCAGGUCUUGACAUCCUUUGACCACUCUAGAGAUAGAGCUUCCCCUUCGGGGGCAAAGUGACAGGUGGUGCAUGGUUGUCGUCAGCUCGUGUCGUGAGAUGUUGGGUUAAGUCCCGCAACGAGCGCAACCCUUAUUGUUAGUUGCCAUCAUUUAGUUGGGCACU
rnacentral:rRNA from 1 species